CGUUACCGGGGCAGCGCGGACGUGACGUCAAGACGCCGACGGGGAGCGGGGACGGGCGGAGCCGCCAUGUUGGCGUGUGGGGGCCGGGAGCGGCCGGAGGGGGGGCACUGGCCAGGGCUGCGGCGCCACGAAGCGCCCUGGCCCUGCUGUCUCGGACGGGUUUUGUCUUUGCUGCCAGAAUGCUAUAUUUUCCUGGAAAAUUAUGGUGCAUCACAAGCUAUUAGUUUUUGUUCUGUCUGUGUGCAGUGAAUAAACCAGUAUAGGCUAUGUUUAUUUUAGCAAGUCACUCAGAGCAGCAGGAGUAGACUGAUAGCUGUAAACAGCAGGAGCUGAGGUUCCUCACAUCUCCAGUAUACCCUCACACAGAAAUUAUUUUGCAUCAGGCCAUUGGACCCAUUAAAGAAGACAAUGUUUGAUCCUUCACUCUUGCAUUGUAGAUACAAGCAAAAAGACUAUCCACCUCGAUCCUGAAACUGUUAUUCUACCCCACUAGGAACUUCAGGAAUGAACUUAGUAACUAUAGUGGGGCAAGACCCUAAAGAAUCUGUUAAGGAAAGCAGGAAUCACUGAAGCAAAGAAGGAUCCACAUCAGGCAUUCUGUCCUUUGACAACAAGAAAAUACCAGCAUCCCUUUUGCAAUCUGGAAUUUCUGCUGUACAAGACUUCAGAGAGAAAAUAUCUGGCAAAAGGAAAAGUGAAAAGCCUUGUCUCAAAGCUUCCAUUUUAUAUAUUACACAAUUUAACUUCUCUGACCAAGGAAGGUGGUGACUGCCAACUCUUCUUCCCUGAGAGCCAGAAGGAAUAGCAGAGCAUAGAGGUAGUCAGUACACAUUUUAAUGUACUGCUGUCUCAUGCACUCUGGACCAUCAAGAGAAAAACUGUGUGUUACUUGUAAGCCUUCCACUCUAGUGAAUCUCAUCUGUUUGGCUCUCCUCCUAAUAAUACCAAUCAGCACCCCACAAACAUGCUCAUACUGUAUUAGAAUAUAACAAUUUUGUAAAUGUGGAAAAGAGACACAUUUUUUGAAGUCAAUGACUGCAGCUAGCAAAAGCCACCUCAUGCACUGCAGACCACUUGUGCAAGUCAAGGCCUUUUCGUCAGAGAACACCUUUAUUUCAUGAACUGAUAUUAAGCUUAAUUUUUUUUUCCACCUUGCACGUCCUCGGUCAUCGGUAUUUUUCAUGUGACAAAGCAAAUGCUAAUUCUCUAUGGGCUGUAAGGGAAAACAGCUGCUAGUUAUAAUGGGGGUUUUGAGAGCACUUGGUCAAACAAACUCCAUAGGUUUAAGUACCUCCAGACUGUAUUACAUCUGUCAAAGCAGCAGCAAAUACAACAUAAAAUGUAGAGUAGGUCCCAUUUUUAGUGUGUCAGUAGAAUCAGCCUGCAGUUAUUUUUAACUGCCUUGGAAAGCUUAGCAGGCAGAUACAGUUAAUCCUUUAAAGGAUUUGCAGGUAUUCAUAGCUUAAUAAGUAAGCAUAGUGGAUUAAACCAAUAGAAGAUUGUAGACAGUCAAAGACAACCUUUACAUGCUAACAUUCAAAAAAUAAAAAGAACAGUUUCUUUUUGUAUACUUUUUUCCUUGACAAUUGCUCUCAAUUGUCAGUAUGGGCCAGAAUCCCAUACAGUGAUGAAAUAAAAACGUUAAUUAGAGUCAUUAAAGUCAACAUGUGUGAUAUUUAAAUCAUCAGAAAGCAGUGAAUUUCUGUUGUCUUCUUUUCCCAUUAUCCUAUAAACACUUUGAAAAGCAGAACUGCACCAUGAAAAUUAAUUAAAAAUACAUCUACUUAUGCAAUAAAUAAAUAAUAAAACUAAAAUGGUAAGAUUCAUUUUAGGAAGAAAAAAAGCUGAGUGAUUCUUACAGGUCAGAAUCUAUAUUGGUUGUAUUCUUUCUCAGGAUUCACUGACAUAGGCUCGACUGAGAGAUGAGGGCCCUUCAAUAUAUUCAUAAACAAUGUGGAAAAGUACACCCAUAGUAAGACAAAAAAAAAAAAAUCAGAUGACACAAAACUAUUAGGCUGAGAAAAUCUAGGGCUGGCUAUGAAAAGCUUUAGAGUUUGGUUCAAUACUGAAUGGGUGAUAAAAUGCCAGAGGCUAUUCCGUGCCAUUAAGUGCAAUGCACAUCAAGAGAGGAAGAGAAAGUACACAUAUGUAUAUCCAUAAGGUGCUAGUAUCACCAGGAAAGAAAUCUGAAAACAUCUGGUGCUUAAAGAAGCAAACAAA